AGUUCAACGGCCGCGGUAUUUUGACCGUGCAAAGGUAGCGCAAUCACUUGUCUUUUAAAUAGAGACCUGUAUGAAUGGCUAAACGAGGGCUUAACUGUCUCCCCUUUCAAGUCAGUGAAAUUGAUCUACCCGUGCAGAGGCGGGUAUAAUACUACAAGACGAGAAGACCCUUUGGAGCUUAAGGUACAAAACUCAACCACGUUAAGCAACUCAAUAAAAAGCAAAAACCUUGUGGACCAUGAGAUUUUACCUUCGGUUGGGGCGACCACGGAGGAAAGAAAAGCCUCCAGGUGGACUGGGAAAACCUCCUAAAACCAAGAGAGACAUCUCUAAGCCACAGAACAUCUGACCAAAUAUGAUCCGGCUAACACAUAGCCGAUCAACGAACCAAGUUACCCUAGGGAUAACAGCGCAAUCCUCUCCCAGAGUCCAUAUCGACGAGGGGGUUUACGACCUCGAUGUUGGAUCAGGACAUCCUAAUGGUGCAGCCGCUAU
rnacentral:rRNA from 1 species